GGUGGUUCAGUGGUAGAGCACUUGCCUUGUAUGCAUGAGGCCCUGGGUUCGAUUCCUCAGUACCA
rnacentral:tRNA from 1 species